rnacentral:rRNA from 1 species
UGGGGAAUUUUGGACAAUGGGCGCAAGCCUGAUCCAGCCAUGCCGCGUGAGUGAAGAAGGCCUUCGGGCUGUAAAGCUCUUUCGGACGGGAAGAAAUGGCGGGCUCUAACAUAGCCUGUCGAUGACGGUACCGUAAGAAGAAGCACCGGCUAACUACGUGCCAGCAGCCGCGGUAAUACGUAGGCAGCAAGCGUUGUUCGGAAUUACUGGGCGUAAAGGGUGCGUAGGCGGCGCUCUAAGUUUGGUGUGAAAUCUCCCGGCUUAACUGGGAGGGUGCACUGAAAACUGGGGCGCUCGAGUAUGGGAGAGGAAAGCGGAAUUCCUGGUGUAGCGGUGAAAUGCGUAGAGAUCAGGAGGAACACCUGCGGUGCAGACGGCUUUCUGGACCAUCACUGACGCUGAGGCACGAAGGCGUGGGUAGCAAACA